rnacentral:misc_RNA from 1 species
AAGUCGUAACAAGGUCUCCGUUGGUGAACCAGCGGAGGGAUCAUUACAGGGUCUAACGACUGCCCAAAACCAACCGUGCUCCUUUCCAUUUUCUCUUGCUUCGGUGAUCGCCUGCUGGGGAGGCCACCGGCCGGGCGUCAUGCCUGGUGGUUGCCGAAGCAUACCACUAUAAACUUUUUACUUUGUAACGUAUCUUCUGAGAACUUUCUACAAAAGAACAAUCACAACUCACAACAAUGGAUCUCUUGGCUCUG